UUGUACUUUAAAACUUAGCGAUGAAGGUUGACUUGUGUCCUUUGGAUUCUGCUGAAAUGGAGGCUGACGGCGAUCGAUCUGAUUCUCCACGUAGGAAUAUAAGUAUUUUAAUGUUGUUUGAAUGAAAUUACGAAAAGUUCAAUGCUUUGUGGGUAAGAUUUCAACGAAAAUUGGAGGAUAAAAGUUUGGUUAGGCCGUUUAGGGAUUAGAUGAAAGUGAUUAAGCACAGAAAAAAUAGUAUAAAAUUUAUCAUGUGGUUAAUGUCAUGAAUUGUGGUCAUCAGUCCUUUGUUUUUAUUAUGAUAUGUGAUAUGUUGAUAUAUAAUCACAUUCCAAAUAUUUUUCGUAGGAUAAAUUUUAUUAUCUCCAGGCCUUAAUCAGGAUGAUGGAAGAAAAGAUAAAUUCCCACCAUUUCACUAUACAUGUCGUUUUAGAUCUUUUUAACACAGAAUAUUAAAUUAUAAAAUCUAUUAGUCUAUCCCUAGCUAAUAUAUUAUAUUAUUUAAUUUUGUUAAUUAGUAAGCUAAAGAUAAGAAUAAAUUAGAAAACUGUCAUGUUUUAAAAUUUUAAAAUAUAAAACAAUAUUUAUAAUGAAACAAAUAUAAAAUCUUAAACAAAAAUUAAUAUGAAACGGUGUGUAUCAUUUGUUUUCAUGAAUCCUAUUUUAUGUGUCUGUUUAACAUGGGUUGAUAUUUUUUUUCUUUGGGUGUUUAUUUCAUGGUAAUAUUCAACACAUUUGUUGUAUCCAGUAUUUUGUGGCUAAUAAUAAAAAUUAUCGUGUGAUAAACGUGUGGUAAAAUAUCUAGCUCAACCCAGACUACAAAAUAUCUGAUCUAUUUUAAGUUCAGUCUGAAAGCACUGAAUUUAGAAUUCAAAUCCAAAAAGACAUAUCAUUUUUAUGUUUUAAAGAAUUCAUGUCGUGUUUAGAAUUUCAUUUGUUUUUGUAUAAGCAAAUUAUGCAUUAUAUAUAAUUAUAUAUCACUAAAAAUAUAAUGUUAAUAUAUAUGCAUAGAUUUUAAGACACAAUUAUAGUAAGUCAAAAGAUGAAUUUGUAAUAGUUAGCAUUUCAAUAUAUUUUAUACAUGAUCAGUUAUACAUUAUGUAUACCACUAAAACACCAUGUCAAUAUCUAUGCACAAAUUCUAAAAUCACAUAAUUUUUUUCUGCUUUGUUUUCAAAAAAUCAUAUUUACAAAUUAUUAUUUUACACUAAAUUAGUUUCCUUCAUAUGUUAACGUAAAGUCAAACAUCAGAAUAAAAAUGUAAAAAAUGUAAUUUAAUAAUUUUAUAUUAUUAUCUUGAUAUAAAUAUUAUAUGUAGUUUUUGGGUCCUGAUAAUAGUCUAUAAGAUUGAUAUUAUUUUAUUUUAUUAUUAGUUAUGUCUCUUUUUAGGUUAAAUAAUUAAAUAUGUUUUUUAAUAUUAUUAGUAUAUUUAGUAAAUCUAAUUAAAUAAAUAUUUUGGUUUUUCAAUCCAGUCUGGUUUUAAAACUGAACCAACCCAAAUCAUUUGGAUUGAUAAAAGGCUUUAACCAAAUGGUUAGAGCAUAUAUUUUGGUUUGGAUUCGUUUUUUUUUCACCUGUAUAAAAUAAAGUGAUAUUUCUAUUCUAAAUUGUACAAAAAUAAAGUUAACAUUUUCUAAAAACGAAACAUAAUAUCUAAUCGCACAAAAGAUAUCAUAAUUUUGUUCUAUAAUUACUUUGUAGUUUAAUUAUAUUUUAUGGCAGUCUGCGAUUAUCUAUCCUAUUAAUUCAAAGUUUUAUUUUUUACCUACCAUUAGAAAGUUGUCAUUUAAAUAUGAAACUAGAUUUUGACCCGCGCCCCCGCGCGGAUGCUGGAUUUAAAUUUUGUUCAAUGUAAUUUAUAAACCAUUUAUUUUAUAAAAUGUCCAUUUAUAUUUUUAUGUUUUGUAAAUUCCAUUUAGAGUAAUAUAUAUGAUUUAUAAUGUAAAAAUCUUAUAUUAAGAGCUUUUUCAAUCUCUACAUAAUAUUAUAUCUAUAAUUCUAUAACUUGAUGCAGUUUGAUAUAAGUGUAAGAUUCAUAUAUUAACUUACUGGGUUUUUUGUUUAUUUAUUUAAAAAAUGUUUAAUUUUUUUUUGUUGUAGUUGAUCAUGAAUUAUUAUUAGUUUUAUGAUAUUUUAUUUUCUUGAAAAUUGUAUUGUAACAGAUUAGAAUCUAUAUUAUAUAUUAUAUAUUAUAGUUUCUGUUUUUAUUUUCACCACAAAGAAACAACAACCAUAAAUCUACUUUAUUUUAUUUAAAUAAUUAAUAUGUCAAUUAUUUUUAAAAAAUGGCUUAAACUAAAUAAUAAAGUGAAUUGGGUCAUAAAAUUGGGCUAGAGUAUAUAAAAAAUUAGUCUAUCAAUUAUUUAAAGAAUUGGGCUGGUCCAACUAAUCCAACUAAUUACUCCGGGAAAAAAACGUAUAUGCGAAAAACUCAACUAUUUUUUUGCUUUCUCCUAAACUUCUCCGUCGCCCCUUCACUGUCUCCUAAACUUCGUGUGCAUGAAGCAUGAAUCUUACCACCCUGUGAGAAGGAGAAACAAAGUAUUAAAGUACGUUCAGUUUUGUAAUCUAUAUAAAUAUAUAUGUUUAAAAUAUUUUUCUAGUGUUUCAUCUGCAAGGAUGCACUCAAGUGUUUCUCCUCCAAAGUUCUGUUUCCAGGAAUGAAGCAUCUUCACACGUACUCUCCAUCCGGUUUUGUAAGGCUUGACAUCCUUAAGCAGGUAACUAAUUAUGGAGUAUCUCGAUGGCUUUUAAGGAGAUACGGAUGCAAUAUAAGACAUUUGGAAAUAUAUAGCUUGGAGAAAAAAAGACGUGGGCUGAAAGUUUAGUUUAGAAAAUUAAGGAAAUCAUAUAUUCUAUAUUGCAACCGAGAAUCUAGCGAGAAUUCAAACU